rnacentral:rRNA from 1 species
GACCGUGCAAAGGUAGGAUAAUCAUUAGUUCUUUAAUUGAGAACUUGUAUGAAUGGUUGGACAAGGAAAAGACUGUCUCUCUUGUUUAAAUUGAAUUUAACUUUUAAGUGAAAAGGCUUAGAUUAUCUAGAGGGACGAUAAGACCCUAUAAAGCUUUAUAAGUUUAUGUAUUUUAUAUAUUUUAUAAUAAGGAUAAUUUUCGGAAAACUUAUUUGGUUGGGGCGACAAGAGUAUAAUUAAUAUAACUGCUAUUAAAUUAAACAAUAAUUUUUGGAUUUUAUAAAUGAUCCUUCUUAAAGAUUAAAGAUCAAGUUACUUUAGGGAUAACAGCGUUAUUUUUCCAGAGAGCCCUUAUCAAAGGAAAAGUUUGCGACCUCGAUGUUGAAUUAAAAUGUCUUUAUAGUGCAGCAGCUAUAAAA